rnacentral:lncRNA from 1 species
AAAAAUUUCAAGUUUUAGAAAUGGCAUUCCUUAUUGGAGAACAAUCGGCUGAGCUUCUACAAGCUCAAGCUAAAUUUUGGAACCACGAAUAUAACUUCAUUUAUAUCGCAUCUCUCAAAUGUGUAACUCAACUAGGCAUACCGGAUAUCAUCUACAAACAUGGUAAACCAAUUACACUCCAACAGCUAGCCGAUGUACUCCCCAUCAACAAAGCAAAAGUUCACGGUGUGUACCGCCUCAUGAGGGUUCUAGUCCAUUCAGGGUUCUUCACCAAGGAAAAAGUUUCCGAUGAUGAUGCCAAUAUGGGGUAUUGGCUUACACCGGCUUCUCGUCUCCUCAUCAAAGACCAGUCCUUGAGUAUGAUACCAUUUUUGGAGGCCAGUUUCUAUCCUACUUACUUGAAGCCAUGGCAUCAUAUGAGUGAAUGGUUUCAAAAUGACGACCUCUCUGCAUUUGAGACAGCCCAUGGAAGCACCUUAUGGGACUAUGCUAGUCACGACCCAAAGCUCAAUGAGUUUUUCAAUGAGCACAUGGUUAACGACACAGAGUUGUUGAGUAGGAUAGUUAUUAGAGAUUGCCAAAACGUCUUCGAUAAUAUGAAGUCUAUGGUGGACGUUGGAGGAAACACGGGAUUUAUGGCCAAAGCUAUUGCAGACGCUUUCCCACACUUGCACUGUGCUGUGUUUGAUCUUCCACACGUUGUUGCAGGCUUGAAAGGUAGUAAAAACUUGACUUACAUCGAGGGAAACAUGUUUGAAUCAAUUCCUCAAGCAGAUGCAGUUAUGCUCAAGGUUUGGUUCUUUUUUCCCCCCUUACAUUACCUAAAAAAAUCUAAUUCUUACACUAUUGAUAUUUGUUAAUUAUAAUAAAUAUUCCAGGUAGAAAUUUAAGUUCAAGUUUUUGUAGAUAUAUUUAUUCACAUCUGCCCAAAAAAAAAAAAAAAAAAAAAAAAAAAAAAAAAAAAAAACAUAGAAUCGACCCCUACCUCAUGGUGUAGUAGUUUUCUUACAUAACAACUAUACAUUUGACUGUUUCUCAUUUCGUGCAUGCUAACAAAAAAUUUUCAAAACAAAAAAAAAACAGUGGAUAUUGCAUGACUGGAGUGACGAAGAGAGUGUGAAAAUAUUGAAGAAAUGCAAAGAAGCAAUCCCAAGCAAGGAGAAUGGAGGAAAAGUGAUCAUUGUUGAUAUGAUUGUACGAAACAACAAGGAAGACCAUCAACAGACUGAAACUCAGCUCUUCUAUGAUCUAUUGAUGAUGGUCUUGAUCAAUGGAAAAGAAAGAACUGAGAAAGAGUGGGAAGAACUUUUCUUUGAUGCUGGCUAUAGUGGCUACAAGAUUGCGUAUGAAUUAGGAUUGUGGUCUCUCAUUGAGGUUUAUCCUUGAUUAUCCAGU